rnacentral:tRNA from 1 species
UCCUCGGUGGCUCAGAUGGAUAGAGCGUCUGCCAUGUAAGCAGGAAUCCCGGGUUCGAGUCCCGGUCGGGGCA